rnacentral:rRNA from 1 species
ACGACGAACUCACCGGGGGCGACAGCAAUAUGUAGUCAAGCUAAAGACUUUACCAGAAUCGCUGAGAGGAGGUGCAUGGCCGUCGUCAGUUCGUACUGUGAAGCAUCCUGUUAAGUCAGGCAACGAGCGAGACCCGUGCCCACUGUUGCCAGCAUGUCCUUCGGGAUGAUGGGUACUCUGUGGGACCGCCGAUGCUAAAUCGGAGGAAGGUGCGGGCUACGGUAGGUCAGUAUGCCCCGAAUCUCCCGGGCUACACGCGGGCUACAAUGACUGGGACAAUGGGCUCCUACCCCGAAAGGGGAUGGUAAUCUCAUAAACCCAGCCUUAGUUCGGAUCGAGGGCUGUAACCCGCCCUCGUGAAGCUGGAAUCCGUAGUAAUCGCGUUUCAACAUAGCGCGGUGAAUACGUCCCUGCUCCUU